rnacentral:tRNA from 1 species
GAAAUAAAAAUUUGAAUUUCUAAUUCAAUAACUUUAAUAUUAAUUUAUUAUUAUUUCU